rnacentral:miRNA from 1 species
UCUGGGAGGCCAAGGCAGGAGAAUCGCUUGAGCCCAGGAGUUUGAGACCAGCCUGGGCGACAAAGUGAGACCUCAUCUCUACAAAAA